rnacentral:rRNA from 1 species
AGUGAACGCUGGCGGUAGGCCUAACACAUGCAAGUCGAACGGCAGCACAGUAAGAGCUUGCUCUUACGGGUGGCGAGUGGCGGACGGGUGAGGAAUACAUCGGAAUCUACUUUUUCGUGGGGGAUAACGUAGGGAAACUUACGCUAAUACCGCAUACGACCUACGGGUGAAAGCAGGGGAUCUUCGGACCUUGCGCGAUUGAAUGAGCCGAUGUCGGAUUAGCUAGUUGGCGGGGUAAAGGCCCACCAAGGCGACGAUCCGUAGCUGGUCUGAGAGGGUGAUCAGCCACACUGGAACUGAGACACGGUCCAGACUCCUACGGGAGGCAGCAGUGGGGAAUCUUGGACAAUGGGCGCAAGCCUGAUCCAGCCAUACCGCGUGGGAGAAGAAGGCCUUCGGGUUGUAAAGCCCUUUUGUUGGGAAAGAAAAGCAGCAGGUUAAUACCCCGCUGUUCUGACGGUACCCAAAGAAUAAGCACCGGCUAACUUCGUG